rnacentral:snRNA from 1 species
AUACUUACCUGGCAGGGGCGAUACCAUGAUCACGAAGGUGGUUCACCCAAGUAGUGUAGUGUAAAGCGCGCGGCUCGUGAUGGGGUGAUUUUUUACGUUAGCUGGGAGGCGUUUCCAU